rnacentral:rRNA from 1 species
CUACGGGUGGCAGCAGUGGGGAAUAUUGCACAAUGGGGGAGACCCUGAUGCAGCAACGCCGCGUGGAGGAUGACACAUUUCGGUGCGUAAACUCCUUUUAUAGGUCAAUAUAAUGACGGUAGCCUAUGAAUAAGCGCCGGCUAACUCCGUGCCAGCAGCCGCGGUAAUACGGAGGGCGCAAGCGUUACUCGGAAUCACUGGGCGUAAAGAGCAUGUAGGCGGGUUAAUAAGUCAGAAGUGAAAUCCAAUAGCUCAACUAUUGAACUGCUUUUGAAACUGUUAACCUAGAGUGUGGGAGAGGUAGAUGGAAUUUCUGGUGUAGGGGUAAAAUCCGUAGAGAUCAGAAGGAAUACCGAUUGCGAAGGCGAUCUACUGGAACAUUACUGACGCUGAGAUGCGAAAGCGUGGGGAGCAAACAGGAUUAGAUACCCUUGUAGUC